rnacentral:rRNA from 1 species
UUAGUUAGUUGGUGAGGUAACGGCUCACCAAGGCAAUGAUGCCUAGGGGUCCUGAGAGGGUUUUCCCCCACACUGGUACUGAGACACGGACCAGACUCCUACGGGAGGCAGCAGUAAGGAAUAUUGGGCAAUAGGCGCAAGCCUGACCCAGCCAUGCCGCGUGCAGGAUGACGGCCCUAUGGGUUGUAAACUGCUUUUGUAUGGGAAAAAACUCCCGCACGUGUGCGGGACUGAUUGUACCAUACGAAUAAGCAUCGGCUAACUCCGUGCCAGCAGCCGCGGUAAUACGGAGGAUGCAAGCGUUAUCCGGAUUCAUUGGGUUUAAAGGGUGCGCAGGCGGAUUAGUAAGUCAGUGGUGAAAGCUCCCGGCUCAACCGGGAAAAUGCCAUUGAUACUGUUAAUCUUGAGUACAGUUGAGGUAGGCGGAAUGUAUCAUGUAGCGGUGAAAUGCAUAGAUAUGAUACAGAACACCGAUAGCGAAGGCAGCUUACCAAACUGUAACUGACGCUCAUGCACGAAAGCGUGGGGAGCAAACAGGAUUAGAUACCCUGGUAGUCCACGCUGUAAACUAUGAUCACUCGCUGUUGGCGAUACACUGUCAGCGGCUUAGCGAAAGUGUUAAGUGAUCCACCUGGGGAGUACGAUCGCAAGGUUGAAACUCAAAGGAAUUGACGGGGGCCCGCACAAGCGGAGGAGCAUGUGGUUUAAUUCGAUGAUACGCGAGGAACCUUACCUGGGCUUAAAUGCAGAACGACCUCCCGAGAAAUCGGGACUUCCUUCGGGACGGACUGCAAGGUGCUGCAUGGUUGUCGUCAGCUCGUGCCGUGAGGUGUCGGGUUAAGUCCCAUAACGAGCGCAACCCUUAUCCUUAGUUGCCAACAGGUAAUGCUGGGAACUCUAAGGAAACUGCCUACGCAAGUAGUGAGGAAGGUGGGGAUGACGUCAAAUCAGCACGGCCCUUAUGUCCAGGGCUACACACGUGCUACAAUGGUCGGUACAGAGGGCAGCUACCUGGCAACAGGAUGCUAAUCUCGAAAGCCGGUCUCAGUUCGGAUUGGAGUCUGCAACUCGACUCCAUGAAGUUGGGUUCGCUAGUAAUCGCGCAUCAGCCAUGGCGCGGUGAAUACGUUC